CAGAACUCAGUGAUGAGUGAGCCAUCAGCUUUGUGAAUUGUGUCAGUUUGUUUCUAUACGCCAAUUGUAAGCAAUCGUUCCCUGUGUGUUGUUCCGUGUGUAAGCCGUGUAAAGUUUUUUUUGCAUUCGAUGCACACAAUAGCGAUACUUAUAAAUGUAGCAUAUCGUCACGUUUGCUGCGCGUUAAAUUCAGCGAUAUAAAGAAUUUCAAUUAAAUACACAAUAGUAAAUUUUAGAGAAGCAUUAUAGUGAGUUUACAGUGUUUUGCCAACAAAGUGCAAAAUAUUUCAAUUUUCGACAUAACCUGUUCUCUAGUUCUUGGAACCGUACAUGCAGUGAGACCUUGAUAUCUUGAAGUUUUUCAAUUGAAGACAGUUGUUAUAGGAUCAUGCUGGAGGAGGUACGUGCUUAAUUUUACGAUCUGGGUAAAUCGCGCGAAUACAACCCAAUAAAACUGCGUCGAUCGUGAGUUCAUAGUUUAUCAGUUGUCCAGUGCACUAGUGAUGACGAAGUAUAAAGUUAAGUGCUGAAAAACAUUUCGUGUCCUCAGACGAGGCGUUAACGUGCGAUGGACAACGGCGGAGAGGGCGUGUUAGACAUAAUACACAAUGACGGAGACCCUCCAUCCCACCUGAAUAUUAGUGAUGUCAUUGAAGCGAUUACGAAGGCGGAUCCGGUUUACGCAGGCGUAGACGCGAUGUCGCGGACGCCUGCGCCUGACCCGCUUGGUGCCUUGCGCUAUGUGAGGAUCGUUGAGCAGCCCGCCAGUAAAGCACUUAGGUUUCGAUAUGAAUGCGAAGGUCGGUCAGCGGGUUCAAUACCCGGCGUGAACAGCACGUCCGAGAGGAAGACAUACCCUACGAUAGAAAUAUGUGGACACAGGGGACCGGCCAUUGUCGUGGUGUCUUGCGUUACCAGAGAUGAACCAUUUAAACCUCACCCGCACAAUCUGGUGGGUCGAGACCGCUGUGAUAAAGGCGUGUGCACGGUGCGAACGAAUAUAACCGAUGAUAAUCGUAUAUCGUUCAGCAAUCUUGGUAUACAGUGCGUAAAACGGAAAGAUGUUGCUGACGCCCUCGCUGUUAGAGAGAAGCUCAGAGUGGAUCCCUUUAAGACUGGAUUCCACCAUCGAAACCAACCACAGACGAUAGAUCUGAAUGCUGUGCGGCUAUGCUUCCAAGUUUUCUUGCCAGAUGAAGCAACAGGCAAGAUUCGACACUCCCUACAGCCGGUGGUAUCUGACGUGAUAUUUGACAAGAAGGCCAUGAGUGACCUGGUCAUCAUGCGUCUUAGUCACUGUUCUGCGCCGCCACAAGGAGGCAUGGAGAUGUUCUUACUUUGUGAGAAGGUGGUUCGUGAGGACAUAGCUGUGGUGUUUUACCAAAAGGAAGGUGAAAUGGUAGUAUGGGAAGAAACUGCCAACAUUCAACUUGUUCACAAGCAGUACGCUAUUGCCUUCCAUGUUCCGCCUUACCAUAAACCGAACAAUCCACAUCAUGUACAGGUAUAUAUCCAGCUGAAGCGGAUAUCGGACAACGCCCGAAGCAACCCCGUGCCUUUCGAAUACAUAGCUGACUUCCAAGGUACCCUGCCUGCCGCUCGCAAGCCUCUUCCAGACCUCACCGCUCUUGCCGCCCUUCUCAAGCCGGACGGCAAUAAUAACACUAACACACACACAAAUGACACAGACACACUCGACGCAGACACACACACACUAGUCACCUCUUCCUCUGACAACUCAGAUGAGAUCGAACUCGUCGAUAGCGUCGAAAGCAGUGACGUCGUUGACGGUGACGUCAUUCAAUGCGAGAUAAUUGACGAACCUCACACUAACGGAGUUCUUGAUAAUGAAAAGAGUCUAAACGAUCUACUUGAACAGGUCGCUGAAUUAGAUGAGAUUUAUUCCGAAAACCGAACGCGACUCGAGAACAUUACUAUUAUAAAUGAUACGGAAGACGUUGACGAUUUCAACGACACCGGAACGUACACCAGCCUACAGUUAGCGUUCAAAAAUCCAGUUUCGAUCACCGAACCCGAACCGUAUGAGGAUGUCCAAGUUCAAACUUACCGCGGCCCGAUUAUAGAAUUUACUCCCCUCAAGGGUGGCGACGAUGAUGAAAGGGCACCGCCGCUACCACCCAAACGAGUACGUAAAAAUUCCGACGCGUUCAGAACUAGCCAAACGUCCGUUAAUAGCAUAUUGAAACCGGGUAGAAAGCUGCCGGUCACCCGAAACCCCGAUAUCUUAGCCCCACGUAGUGAAUUGAGCCUCGCUAAAAGUGAGCCCGCGUUACCGCCCGCGCCUAAAAAGCGUUCGUUCUUCUCGCGCUUGUUCCGACGAAAGGAGAAAUCCCCGGCACCGAGCAUUAAAUCUGAGGGGCAGAAAGAUGUUAAAACUAAACCCGUAGCCCGAUCCGUCAGUAGCGUAUCCGGUAUUCGUCCGUCGAAAUUUAAAUCGGCAAUUUCGCACACAUCCCUUAAAGAUAACGCGUCUGCGGCCGGCCUGAGUUACGCCGAUAGCGUGACUCACAUAUCGCUACACGAAGAUAUGGACGAAAAGUCCUCCCAGAGAUCCUUAAAACGGCCUGCCAGUCUGGCUCCCCUUCCCCCCACUGAUGGGGGUACAAUUCUUGUCGCGGAAAGCGUUUUAGCUUUGGAUGCGUCUGCGUUUAAAAAGUUGCAGGAUGACCUCGAUCUAACUGAGGCUGAGCACUACGCUCUUUAUAUGGCAGUGGCGCCGCACGCUACAGCGUCUGAAUUCGAUGAAACUAGUUGCUAUUACUCGCCGGUAGAUGGCAGCAAAUUUCAUAACCAAUAAGCCGUUAGACUGCCUCUGCGGUGACCGACUUCAUCAUUGUUUUGGGUUAGAACAAUCCAGAAGUUCUUUCUUCUUCCCCCAUUAUUGGGUUGCGAUUUCAAACAAUUCUGUCAUAUGCUGUAAGCAUCCAUCGUAGUUUUUAUGCUUUCAUACGUUCUUAUUUCAGCAUAGUUGCCCAAAUCAUUCUAAUAAUAUAAUCAUAGUUUCGGUUACGUAAACAAUAUCGCGGGAUAAGAAAAUCAUAGUAAAGAAUGUUUAUUAACUAGCUUAAAUUACUUUAAAUUAAUUUUAAAUGAGUUUUAAUUAGUUAAAAUGAAUUUUAUACGAGUUUAAAUGACUUUUAUAUGAGUUUAAAUUAGUUUUAACUAGUUUAAAUGAAUAUUAACUAGAUUAAAUAGAUAAAUGCGCCCAUUGAGCCAAAUUUUUUUAUACCUUUACACUGCGUGUUGCGUUGUGUGCGUAGAAGGUGAAAAUUUGUUGGUUUUAUUACAAACCGACACUAUUUUCUACAGUAUAGGGCAAAGACCUAUAUUCGAAGUUGAUACAGAGUUUAAACUUUCCUAGUCGUCCUCCGAUAUCUCAAUAAAUCAUUUUAGGAUCUUCUAAUCUAGUCUUGUUUUAAUUUUUAUUGUUAUUUUUAUUAAUUUUUAUGUUCAUUCUAGAUUCGAGUUACUUAAGGCAUAAGCGACAGAAAAUGAUUAAUUUGCAUCAAUUUGAUGAACGAACCUUUGUGGAUCAGCCGAUCAAGUCAGAACCAAGAG